AUUGAACGCUGGCGGCAGGCUUAACACAUGCAAGUCGAGCGGGGUGAUGGUGCUUGCACUAUCACUUAGCGGCGGACGGGUGAGUAAUGCUUAGGAAUCUGCCUAUUAGUGGGGGACAACGUCUCGAAAGGGAUGCUAAUACCGCAUACGUCCUACGGGGGAAAGCAGGGGAUCACUUGUGACCUUGCGCUAAUAGAUGAGCCUAAGUCGGAUUAGCUAGUUGGUGGGGUAAAGGCCUACCAAGGCGACGAUCUGUAGCGGGUCUGAGAGGAUGCUCCGCCACACUGGGACUGGGGCACGGCCCAGACUCCUACGGGAGGCAGCAGUGGGGAAUAUUGGACAAUGGGGGGAACCCUGAUCCAGCCAUGCCGCGUGUGUGAAGAAGGCCUUAUGGUUGUAAAGCACUUUAAGCGAGGAGGAGGCUCUUUUGGUUAAUACCCAGAAUGAGUGGACGUUACUCGCAGAAUAAGCACCGGCUAACUCUGUGCCAGCCGCCGCCGUAA
rnacentral:rRNA from 1 species